CUGUGAAUAAAUCCGUUUCUUGGCUGGGUUUCUGCAAACUUCCCAGACGGCUUUACAUAACAAGAUUCUUACAGAGAGAGAGAGAGAGAGAGAGAUCUUUUUAUUAUUAUGUCUGUAACUUACAGAUAUGUUGUUGGAAGUAAAUGCCGACCAUAUGAAGCGCAUGCCAGCAAACCAGAUGUUGCACACGAGCAAAUGAUUUCAGCGUGGCUACUUUCAGAAUGCGAAAAAUAGUGUCUGUGUUCAAGAUGUGAUCUGGCUCGCCUACUUUCUGUUACCGUUUUAUAAUGCAAUUUGGAAUGGGCUCCGCAGUUGUGCUCUAGUGUUAUGUCUCCCAUAUUUUUAAAUUUAUCUAUGCUGCUCUGACUGGGUUGAUAUUCCUAUGCAAAAUAAAUGGUUUAUGUAAAGAAA